AUUCAUUUAGUAUAUAAAGUAUAUUUAACUUCCAAUUAAAAGGAUUAAUAAUAAAAAUGAAUA
rnacentral:tRNA from 1 species